AACCGGGUGAGGGAGGUAGCUGAGGCGUCUCUGGCAGGGCUCGGAUGGCAAUGGAUGCUGAGCGGGUCGAGAUGCGCGCCUUGGAGGCGGAGAUUGCAGUGCUGCAGCAGGCUUGCAAGCAGCUGCCUGCGCCCUGGGAAGACGGGGCCCGAGUCCGGGAGCUGUAUCCAAUUCGGAUUCAAUAAGUUGGUUUCAUGGACUUUUUUUGUGUGGGCCACUUAACCAUGUACUAGUGACCAAUUUGAAGCCAGCAGUGGUGCAGGCCUGUCAUCCCAGCCACUCUGUAGGCUGAAGCAGGAAGAUCACAAAUUCAAGCCCAGCCUGGGGAAUCACCAAGACUUAAUCUCAAAAUAAAAAAAUACAAAAAGGGAUUGGGGUAGUACAGUACAGUUAGAAAUAGGGAAAUUGAAGGAACCACUCUCUUCCCUUCAUUCAACUAUAAACAUAAACCCUAAUGGCUAGUCAUGUUUAAGUUUAGGAGAUCAAGGUGGGGGAGGAGGCAGGUCAUCGACACCAGAGACAGAAUGGGAGGCACCUGGAGUCAGAAGCGGCUGACCCUUUAAAUACUGGAAGCCUGAGUUAUCAAGGGUUUCUGUUCCUCAGUUCCUUUUCCUCCUCCUUUUUCCCUUUGCCAUUCUGCCCAUUCCGCUGCUACUGUCCUGCAAUCUUCAAUAAACGUAGCUACUUACUACA